UACGUAGGGUGCGAGCGUUGUCCGGAAUUACUGGGCGUAAAGAGCUCGUAGGUGGUUUGUCGCGUUGUCCGUGAAAACUCACAACUCAAUUGUGGGCGUGCGGGCGAUACGGGCAGACUGGAGUACUGCAGGGGAGACUGGAAUUCCUGGUGUAGCGGUGGAAUGCGCAGAUAUCAGGAGGAACACCGGUGGCGAAGGCGGGUCUCUGGGCAGUAACUGACGCUGAGGAGCGAAAGCGUGGGGAGCGAACGGG
rnacentral:rRNA from 1 species